rnacentral:rRNA from 1 species
UACGGGGGGGGCAAGCGUUGUUCGGAAUUACUGGGCGUAAAGGGCUUGUAGGCGGCCAACUAAGUCCGACGUGAAAUCCCUAGGCUUAACCUAGGAACUGCGUCGGAUACUGGAUGGCUUGAAUCCGGGAGAGGGAUGCGGAAUUCCAGGUGUAGCGGUGAAAUGCGUAGAUAUCUGGAGGAACACCGGUGGCGAAGGCGGCAUCCUGGACCGGUACUGACGCUGAGGAGCGAAAGCGUGGGGAGCAAACAGG